UGGGGAAUAUUGCACAAUGGGCGCAAGCCUGAUGCAGCCAUGCCGCGUGUGUGAAGAAGGCCUUCGGGUUGUAAAGCACUUUCAGCGAGGAGGAAGGUGGUGAGCUUAAUACGCUCAUCAAUUGACGUUACUCGCAGAAGAAGCACCGGCUAACUCCGUGCCAGCAGCCGCGGUAAUACGGAGGGUGCAAGCGUUAAUCGGAAUUACUGGGCGUAAAGCGCUCGCAGGCGGUUUGUUAAGUCAGAUGUGAAAUCCCCGGGCUCAACCUGGGAACUGCAUUUGAAACUGGCAAGCUAGAGUCUCGUAGAGGGGGGUAGAAUUUCCAGGUGUAGCGGUGAAAUGCGUAGAGAUCUGGAGGAAUACCGGUGGCGAAGGCGGCCCCCCUGGACGAAGACUGACGCUCAGGUGCGAAAGCGUGGGGCAGCAAACAGGAUUAGAUACCCUGGUAGUCCAGCGCUGUAAACGAUGUCGAUUUGGAGGUUGUGCCCCUUGAGGCGUGGCUUCCGGAGCUAACGCGUUAAAUCGACCG
rnacentral:rRNA from 1 species